CUCUUCACAGGACGAGUCCCCCCCCCUCAAAUGGAGCCCGAGGAGGGUCUGAACGGGCCCCCCCGAGGCCCCCCCUCCCUCCCCAUCAUCGGCGCCGAGGACGAGGACUUCGAGAACGACAUCGACCCCACCCCCGAGGAGAAAAGCCCCGAAUUCCAGAGCCU